GUUAUGUCCCUUGGGGCGCUCUUUACGAAUAUCCUACGCACAACUUGUGAUUGAAACCAGUUCGGCAAACACCGACAACACAGCAUGCACCAGUUUUCGAUGUAUGGAGCAAUUGUUUCCAUACCACAUAUGGCAAGUGUUCGCUGUUUGGAAGCUGUUCACCCUGAAGUCUCAAUUAUCGAUUUCAGGCAAUUCGUAAGGGAUAAUAAGCCUUUUAUUGCAUCAAUAGGAAGCUUAAGUGAGUGCAUAUGCCCCAAUAUAAUAUAGGCCAAAAUAUUGUCGAAAAUGUGUGACAUUGUGCCUUUAACUAAAUAAUGAGAAAGAAUCAGUUGUUUCCCUAGCAUUUCUUUCAGUAAUACAUCUGCAGUUCCUGCAUGUAAGAUACACAGGGUCGAGACUGAUGACGUUUCCCAGAUGUAUACUUGUUCGGGACUGUUAAACAAGACAUCACUUUCAGAACCAAAAAAGAUGGUGGAUAACAAACAGAAGAUUGAAUUUGAAUUGUUGAAAUUUUAAAAGCUAAAGUUUUAAAUUCAUCUGAAAUCUGCUAAACUGAUACUCCCCACAAGAAUGGUGCCCACAAGUUGGACAGCAGGCCUCGAUUUAGAAAUGUUUCACCUACUCGCACCAGGUGCAACCUAAGAUAAAAACCUAGUAACACCAGACAAAUUCCAUUUGCACUGCUUUUAUUUUGCAAUUGGUAAUGAAAUAUGCUAUUGAAUUAUUUAGAUGUUUUAUUCAGAAGUUUACCCACUCAAAAAUUUACUUGCACUUGGUGCAAGUUAGACUAAUAACUAGGUUGCACUUUGUAAUAUUGGGUUGCACCUGUGCAAGUAACAAAGCACUCAAUCGAGCCCUGGACAGCAUUCCUUAACUUCAGAUUGGUUUAAGAAGGACCUUAGUGGAGUAUUCAUAUUCACCAAAUAGAAGUAAAUUAAUAUGAAACAUCAGUGGCAAAUUACCCAGUAAAUUCAAAUGACUAAUGUUAUUCUGAUGUUACAUGUUUUGAGCCAUCAAUGUUUUCCCACAAUGACAACUCGACAAAGAGGACACACAAUCCCUUGUUAGAUCACUGUUGUCCUGAUAUAUGUAUUUAAAUGUUUUUGUUGGACUUAUUUUAAUUGUUAUAUAAUCCAGUUGAGCUGAUGGGAGAGUUCUGUCAGUUUACACAAGCCGUUUGGCUUCAUCUUAUCAACAUUGCAGUCUAUCACAAGAUUCAUUACCCUAUUGAGGCUUAUCCUUGUAAGCUCUACCCUUGCAGGUUUCUUAUGUCUCUACCAGAUCUACCUUUGCAGGCUCCUUAUGUCUCUACCAGAUCUACCCUUGCAGGCUCCUUAUGUCUCUGCAAGCUCUACCCUUGCAGGUUCCUUAUGUUUCUACCAGAUCUGCCCUUGCAGGGUCCACAUUUCUCAGCAAGCUCUACCCUUGCACUUUCCACCUGUCUCUGCAAGCUCUACCCUUGCAGGGUCCUCAUUUCUCUGCCCCUGCAGGUUCCACCUGUCUCUGCAAACUCUACCCUAGCAGGGUCCACAUUUCUCUGCCAGCUCUAUCCUGCAAUCUCUACCUGUCUCUACCAGAUCUACCCUUGCAGGCUCCAUAUUUCUCUGCCAGCUCUAUCCUGCAAUUUCUACCUGUCUCUACCAGAUCUACCCUUGCAGGCUCCACAUUUCUCUGCCAGCUCUAUCCUGCAGUCUCACCUAUCUCUCUCAGACUGUUUGAAUCAAAGGACGGAUCUUGUGAGGUGAAACUAACCAAUAAGGAAGUUAUUAAACCAUUUUUUAUUCGCAAUUUCUUCUCCCGUUUUCCAAAGAACACAAGAUAUGUUUGUUGUGUUGGCAGCUGCAAUGUGUACAAGACUAAAGGUUGGACUGUCUUGUUUGUUUAAAGCAUUACUGGAAUUUGAUGACAGCUAUCAAAACUGAUUGUCAGCUUUUACCUCUGGAUAUCUGUCUUCAAAUUCCAUCCUGACUUGUAAAGCUUAUGAUUUUCAGAAUAAAUUGCAUUCAUUGUGUCUGCA
rnacentral:lncRNA from 1 species